GGUCGGUCCACAGGCUGCCAGGAAGUAAUACGUGUACAUUAUCACGUGUAUUAAGCAGUUGAUUGCGGAGAUCGGAA
rnacentral:lncRNA from 13 species